UGUUAGAUUCACAGUCCAGUUUAAACUGAGGGAGGAGCUGUUCCCGGAGGAGGUCGGCACUAACAAAAAGAUGGUGAAAUGGGCAGCAGCCGAGACCGCUCUCGAUGAACUGUAAAGAAGAGGAUCACUGCUGGAGAAGAGGAGCAGCAGGAGACAGUCAAGGCUGUAUGAUAAUGUCUUUAGGCAUUCCC